UACAGAUUAUGACUGUACGCCUCUAAGUCAGAAUCCCGCCUAAACGUAACGAUACCGCAGCGCCACGGAUCUCCGGUUGGCCAGGGAUAGCCGGCCGCAAGGCCGGCGAGGAGCGCCGCUCGUCACUGGGUCGGAGCGCGGACGGAAGGGGGCCGCCUCUCUCCAGCAGUGCACCGCACGUUCGUGGGGAACCGGGUGCUAAAUCAUUCGUAGACGAC